GACAGUGUAGCUAUACAGUGUUUUUGCUAACAUUAAGAAAAUUACAGGAAAGAUCUCCUGGAGUUUUUAAACUUAUUUUAAAAAAUUCCUUCAGUGAGAUGGUGGUAUAAUAUUGAAGGUAGAAAGACUCAUUCAUGAUCAGGCUACUUUGACCCUGAUUGGCCCUUUUUGAUGGAAAUACUGGAUCUCCAAUAACAGACAUUUCAUUUGAAUUCAUUGGCUCAAAGUGUCUUAGAAAGCCUGUUUUCUGAAGAUAUUUGUGUUUUACAAGUUGCAGAAUUUGUUUUUUCUGGGACUGACAAGCUUUUAGCUUUUAACAGUAACUGAUAGCUAAGCUUAACAUUUACAUGCACAUCACUUGCAUAUCACAGUUAAAGACUUCUUUUUAAGAAUGUCAAAAACAACUGGUUGUGGUCAUGUACACCCAGGAAAUGACAAGUUCAACAUCAGCCCCUGCAACAUAGAGAUGGCCUAAGCAAUUGAGCCAAGAUCCUGUCUCAAAAUAAAAAGGACUGGGGAUGUAGCUCAGUGUUAAAAUGUCCCUGGGUUCUGUCCUUAAUUCCAGCAACAACAAAAAGAAUGUCAAAGACAGGUUUUUCAAUGCAUAAGGGAUACAUUAUCACCACCUCUUAAGUUAAGAACUCCCUAAUUUAGCUGGGAAUAUAGCUCAGUGGUAGAGAUCACAAGUACCCACAAGGCCCUGGGUUUGAUCCUCAGCAGCAAAAAAUAAAACAAAUAGAACUUUCCAAUAAAAGAGUUGUAAAGUCCUUUUUCUUUAGUUCCCAAGAUCUACUCUAAUAAGUUGGCUUUAAUCAAAUAUUUUAUUGUAAUUUUCAGUAUAAUUAAGAAAAUCAAGUAGCAUUACACCUAAAUCUGUUUUAGUGGUUUCAGAAGUGCUUUAAUCCUUUUUGUCAAGUACUACCAAUAUAAAAAAUGAAUUUUAUUUUUUCUAACAAUCCUUUUUUUUGUUUGGUUAAUAAUUCUUCGGUUACUUCUGAAGUGACAGUUACAUUUCAAAGAUGUGUAGCUACUCCACUAACAUUUUCUUGUUUGUUUUGUAGCCAGCAUAUGCUUUCCGAAAUUCUUUUUAUUGUUGGUGGUAUAUUUUUAUUCAUAUUAUUAAUAACAUUUGUCAGAUGUUUGGGUUUGGCCUUUAAUUUUUAAAAUCAUUUUACUUCUAAAGAAGUCUUAUCGUGGCAGGUUUCUGGGUUGGGAAUUUAUUGGAAACAGGACAUGAGAGUACUUUGUGGUAGUAGAUGAUUAUAAUUACAUGCCAAAACGAGUAUACAUUAUUACAUGUAAAACUGUUAACAUGGAUACAAAAAUGGAAAGAAAAAUUUCAAAUUUGGGGUCUGCAUAUCUGAAAAUUAGACAAAAGAUUCAGAAAUCGGGUUUAAAAUUGAGAAGAUAGUCAUGGGGUUUGGGUUUUAUAGUCCAGUGCUUAGCCUCUGUGAAGCUCUGGGUUCAGUCCCUAGCACCAAAGGAAAGAAAAUAGUCAUAAAGAUAAGUAAAAGCUGAGUAGGCACAAUAGGAGUUUUGUUUUGUUUUUUUUUAAUGCCAGUGGAAAUACAAUGAAGAAAUUAACUAUGAGAAAUGGUUAGUUGAUUAUGGGGAUGUGGUAAAGUUGUAUUAAAGAGACUGAAUUGUGUUAUUUCCAACAAAAAGGGAUCCUAUGAUUUACAGGGAUGAGUUUUGGGAAGGCAGGCGCUGCAUUUUGUUUAUAACACAAUUUUCCAGCUUUAUAUAACAGCAUGCCAUACUGCUAUAAUGACAUGAACAUGUUUGCUUUGAGAUUUAAGCUAGUUUUAAUAGGCAAUGAUAAUUAAACCCUCUAGAUUCUGUAGUUGGAAAAAUAUUUUUACAGUUAUCAGCAUACUACUAUAGAAAUACUCUGAAGAAUGGGCAUUAUGCAGGUAAGA
rnacentral:lncRNA from 1 species